GAAGGGCGGGCGUUGCGGAGGGAGAGCCAAUCAGCGGCGCCGUCUCCUGAGCCAAUGGGCAAAUGGGCCGCCUACAACGGCCGGGCGCGCGCGGGGGUGUGGCUGUAGCGGCGGUUGUGUAACGGUGGUUCUCCAUAAUUGUUGCGUUGUGGGAGUGUUCGCUCUGUGUUUUGCCUGUUACCUCUCUGGAUUGCUUUUUUCACAUUCUUCACUCCCUACGUUGGGUGGCUGAAAGGUCUGUGGCAAUUUCACGGUGGAGAGCUCAGGAGUGGGGGGAGUCGUGAUGAAAGAAGGCUGCUAGGUUAAGGACACGGAGAGCGCUUGCUUAAUCCUGGAAAGAAUCCUGGACUGCAUCCUAUCUGGGAAGCAUCUUGGCAUCAUGAGUGGUUCAGCUCCGUGGAGUUUGUUCCUGAUGCUCCUGGAGAGGGGAGGCUCUGCAAAUUAGCGGGCAGAAAGCUGAGUGCAGGCAAGAUGGCUGGCUGCUGCUGGGAUUGCUGCAGCAAAAUGCAGGCCUACAGGGUCAGGUUUGCUGCCCUCCCAGGAACGUGUUGGCAUGACCAGUGUUGUGCAGGCCAAAGUCCAGGUGAGUCCUUCACCCUCUUUUUGGCAAACAGCCAUGCCUCCAGGUCCAGCCCUCCAGCCUGAUGCCCGGCUCAGCUGUGCCAAGUGCAGCUGCCACGAGGCAGGAGUUGCUUGAGCUCCUGCAUGGUGGUCUGCACUUAUUGUGCCAUUGCAUCAAAGCCUGUGCCUUUUCAUACAUUACAUCAUAUAAAAAGAA